CAUAAAUCGAAAAACGACAAUUGACUAGUGAUUUCUGCGGAGCAAUUUCUGCAUAAAUUUUUAUGUUAAUUUAUAAAAGUUAUAAAAUGCGUAACAAAUAUAUUUAUUUGCAAGUUUUAGAAGAAAUUAUUUUAUUCAAAUUCUACCGUAUUCAUCAAUUGUGUUGCAAUGGACAAACUUCCUUGGUUAUCAUGUUGACCAAUGAACUUAAAAUUUUCAAUAUCCGAAGGUAAAUAAAUUUGAACAUUAUUGCUUACAUAGUUAAUUUUAAAUGAUUUUGGAGAAUUCGAAUAAUCAAUAGUACUGCAUCUUUUUACAAAAACCAACGCAUUGCUAACACCACUAAGUAUGAUAAUUUUAAAUAUAACAAACAAUUUUCCAUUAAUUUUUACAACGGAGUUGACAUGUUGUUUUGUAUCACUACUACAAACAUUAACAAACAAUUUUUUAUAUAAAAUACAGGAUUUAAAACUAAAACCUUCAGAAUGUUGAUGACCAAUAAUUUUAAGCUUAGCUUUUUCAGAGGUACUAAAAAUAUACAAUUUUUUGCUUCCUAAUAAUCUACAAUUAUCAAUGGAAUAAGAAUUUUUAAAAAAUCGCUUGCAUUCAAGCAAAGAUUCAUGAAAUUGCUUAGCCCCUUCACUUAAAAAUUCCACUUCUCCGAGACUGUAGACCUUUUGGGUGCAAAUAGCUCGAUUAACAAUUUGAGUACUGAUUUCUCUAGUACCACAAAAACUAUUUUUGAGAAUACCAUUGUAAUUUUCAAACUGAAAUAGAGAAUAUCCCCAAAGUGGGCCCCAUUUUCUCACAUUUUCCGCUGCGUGGGUUAAUAAAUGAACAUUAAAAGAACAAUAACUUUGGCCAUAGAGGUUUGGAAUAAGCAUUGAAAAUUCUUUGAUUAAUAUUUCUGCUACCAAUAUUUCAUCCAUUGUUACACUAUCUUGACACAAAAUCGAAAUGGAAUCUACAAGUUUAGCAAAGUGUUUUAAAAAACAAUCUUGAAGAAUUCCUUUUAGCAGCGGCACCGCAAUUAGCAUCCAAUUUUUCCAUUCGUGUGCCUUCCAAUAUUUAAUGCUGCUGAGAUCCCUUAUUGUCCUGCUGCAGUUCUUGGGAAUUUUGCAUCUUCUUAAUUUUUGAUUUAUUUGAUUUUCCUUAUUUCCAAUGUAAAAGAUUUCCUGAUGAUUCUUGGGCAAAAUCCAGGCAAAUGUCAACAUUCGUACGACUCCCAGUAAAACAGUGUGCAUGUAGUCAAAAACGAAACCAUCGACGAUUGAAAAAUGUGGAAUUUUCAAGAGAGGGGAGGCCAAUUUAAUUCCAUAACGAUUUGAAAUAGAUGAUCCAGUUGAUAGCAAGUCUCGAAGUUCCAAAAGCUGAUUCAAAAAAUGUUCCUUGUUUCGAUUCGCAGCAAUUUCAGUUGGCGGAAAAAUCCAUUUAUGACUUCUGUCCCCUGUGGACAAAUUGAGCCCUUUAGCCUGACACCAUGGACAACUAUACUCCCCAUUGAAUUGAUUAAUUCCUUGCAAGGGGGCACGAGCGACGGAAUCGGCUGCAAGCAUUGGGAAAAAUAUUUUACUUUUAAUUUCCACCCCAUUAAAAUUCCAUUGGAUUCCUUCCUUUGAUAAUUGAUUUGAUUGAUUAAUUAGUGGGUCAAGAAAAAGUUUGAAAUUUGGCUUGCUAUCAUUAAACCACAAUCCAGCCAAAAUGGUGUGCUUUCUUCUUAAAUCGUAAUCCAAUUCGUUGAUUGAAAGAAGUAGAGGCCAAAUGCAUGACUUGGAAGAGUUGAAAAUCGAAACGCCGUCCGUGUUGAUGCAACAAGUUAUGUCAAAUUUUGAUAACUUUAACUUUUUAUAUGCUUCUCCAUCCAUUAUUCCGGAUGACUCGUUAUUAUUAAAUUGACGUUUGGCAAAAUUCUUUUUUAAACAUUGUGCAAUAUUUUUUCUCUCCAAUAGUUGCUUCAUGAUUGUUGCAAUGUCAAAUGACACGAAAAAGUUGCCGUCCUUUGUAGCAUUCCUUCCAGACUCUUGACAACUGGCGCAACUUCCGUUUGUCUCCAAAAUAUUUUGACAAUUGGAGCAAAAGGGGAUCUUUUUUGCCUGAUCGUAGCAAGGAUUCAGUUUUUUGCUUAACAAGUAGACAGAUGAAGGAAUUGUUUCCCCUUGUGGGAGGUCAAGAGGUCUGAUAACGCUGAUUUGCUAAUUUUGUGUCGAAAGGCAUAUCCAAAAAUUAACAAGCAGCUUUCAUUUGCAGUUAGUUGAGAGUUGGGGAAAAUUGGUUGAGAUUGGGAUUUUUCUUCGCUCUGUGAACAAAUAAAUCAUGGGGUCAUAUUAUAUUAAUUAUUAUUUAUAAACAUACUUAUCUUACGUCAUCAUAUUCUUCGUCACUGGAUAAAUCAUCAAUCCCUGGCAUUGAAUUAUCAUUAUAAGCAACUACCUGUAUGAAAUAAGAAGAAUGUAAACUAUUGUAAUGCCAAUAAAAAAUUUAAAAAUACAUUAUCAUCCAGAUUGGUUUCUUCCUCAUGUUGUGGGCUAUUGCCGUUGACCUCCUGUGUAUUUUGAGUUUCAUGUUGAUUAUCCAAAUUACGACGAACGCCCUAAAAAACAAAAAAUGCUGUUGCUUAACAAGUUUCAACUAAAAAUUAUUUUAUUACCUUUUGACUAAUUCUGUAACGCGUUCGGCGAGGGACGAAAAGUGACCUACUUGACCCACCAGUUGGAGUAAAAUAUUUUUUAUAAUUUUUUCGUGUUGACAUUAUUAUUUAAUUAUUAAUUAUUGAAUUAACUUUUUAUAUACGUACACAUCGUAAACUUAUUAUUUUGUUUAAUUCAAUAAUUGAAGACUAAAUACUGCCCUAAGCCCAUGCCAGCGAAGUUUAGUAUUUCACACAUGGUCAAAACUUUUAACUUUUUUCUUAAAAAAUAAACUUAACAUAAAAUAAAAUGUCGUUUUUAUUGGUCGAAUGGUCAGAAGAUGACUUUAAGACAUAUUCUGUUGUGUCAAUUGACCAAUUAGAAGACGGAAUUUUGCGUGCGAAUCCUGGAAAACUUGUUGGAACUGUCGUUGCAAUUAAAUGGAAAAGGAACUCUAUCCAUCGUGGUCUCGUUUUACAAAUUGGUAAUUAUUUUCAUUAUUUUCGAACAAAUUAAAGUGAUAUAUUUAAAAUAAUAUAUUUUUUAAAGGGAAACACAAAAAUCUCUCUUUGGAAGCUGACAAGUUAGCCGUAAAAGCAGCUGACGAAGCUUCAAUCAUUAAAGAAAAAGACAAGAGCAAAUUUGAUAACUCUUCAGGAAUUAAAAGUAAUUUUUGCAAUAUAUUUUUUGAAAUUCUAAUUUUAUAUGAAUUAAUAUUUUUUCCAGUGCAAAAAUCUAAAAACCGAGCCAAUGAAAUUACAGAAAUUGCAUCCCAAAUUCCUUCUUCUCAAUCAGUUGACAUGAGUUUAAAUGCGGAAUUUGCUGACCCUCCUUUGGAUAACGAAACAGUACCAAAAGGUGUUAUAUAAGUAUAUAAUACUUCUAUUUACAAAUUAAUUGAUUCGGAUUUUCAGAGAAGUAUGAUCGUCUCAAAGGACGUCACGAUAGGUUGAAGGAGAAAUAUCGCGAGUUGAAAAAAUUGGUAGAGAAUUCUCACGAAGUUGAAUUAUAUGAAGGGUCUGGAGUUACAUUGCCAGCUGCUGAAUUAGCUUCGAUAAAGAUUAUGUCGAAUAAACCAACAACCCUGGCCAGGAACUUGUUUCGUCGACUUUUCUCUCCGGAAGAACUAGCGAGUCAUUCCCUAAAUGGAAAAAUUUGUAAUGCAAACCAAUUAGCUCCCCCACUUCCAAAAAUUGACACAGCCAAAUCUGAUGCAGUAAUUAAAUUUGUUCUUAAAGAAGAAGGAUUCGACAACUCACCAAAUGCUGACAUUAAUGAGGCCAACAAAUCGUUUUUGAAGAACAAGAAGGCGGUAAAGCGAGAGAUUAAGAAAUCUCUAUCGGAUUUCCUUAGAGAGUGUAAGAAACGAAAAGAUUAAAAUAUUUAAAAAUAUUUUUGCUUUAAUAGUUUGUGAAAAAUUCUAAAAUAAUUUAAAGAAUUAAAUAAAUAUCUUUUGACGAAUGAAUUCUACCAAAAGUUUUAUGCCUAAUUUAUUCUGCACAAAAGUGGGCCAAUUUUAGCUCCUAAAGUUUUAUGCAUAAACAAAACUGCAGAAAUUUUUCUGUAGCUAGUUUUCUGGCUAAAAUUUUCUGUACAAAAGUGGGCCAAUU